CCGGAGAAGAGACAAAGGCCUGUUUCUCGGAGUGCUUCGGUCGAUCCGAGUUUAGGAAGUCUGUAUCAAGAAAAACCUGCAGGUGGCUGUAAGCUGCCGAUCAGCUGCCAGUCUGGAUAGUAGCCAUCAACUCAGCAAAGGCCUGCAGGCUAAUCAGCCCCACCUGUUUCUCUGCUGCCAUUCAAGACAGGAUGCUUUGUGACAGGCGAAACAGGGCCCAUGCACCGCUUCCGCAGGGCCCUGCUGUGGGAGCUCAUGGAGGUGGCACGGUGCAUGGAAG